rfam:Candidatus Entotheonella sp. TSY1 plasmid pTSY unlocalized plasmid scaffold pTSY_scaffold00004, whole genome shotgun sequence.
UGAGGGACCAGUAAUGGCCUCCGAUCGCACCCCAGGAGUCAGCAGAGGGCAUAGUAGGUUGUGUCUCGGAUCAACCUCGCCGCCUGGCGCUGAAGGCA